rnacentral:rRNA from 1 species
GUACACUCCUGCGGGAGGCAGCAGUGGGGAAUAUUGCACAAUGGGCGCAAGCCUGAUGCAGCCAUGCCGCGUGUAUGAAGAAGGCCUUCGGGUUGUAAAGUACUUUCAGCGGGGAGGAAGGCGAUAAGGUUAAUAACCUUGUUGAUUGACGUUACCCGCAGAAGAAGCACCGGCUAACUCCGUGCCAGCAGCCGCGGUAAUACGGAGGGUGCAAGCGUUAAUCGGAAUUACUGGGCGUAAAGCGCACGCAGGCGGUCUGUCAAGUCGGAUGUGGAAUCCCCGGGCUCAACCUGGGAACUGCAUUCGAAACUGGCAGGCUAGAGUCUUGUAGAGGGGGGUAGAAUUCCAGGUGUAGCGGUGAAAUGCGUAGAGAUCUGGAGGAAUACCGGUGGCGAAGGCGGCCCCCUGGACAAAGACUGACGCUCAGGUGCGAAAGCGUGGGGAGCAAACAGGAUUAGAUACCCCGGUAGUCCCAUGAU